rnacentral:rRNA from 1 species
AUACGUAGGUCCCGAACGUUGCGCGAAAUUACUGGGCGUAAAGGGUCCGUAGGCGGUCUGGUAAGUGGAAGGUGAAAGCCUGGGGCUCAACUCCAGAAUUGCCUUCCAAACUGCCGGACUUGAGGCAGGGAGAGGUCGGCGGAAUUCCCGGUGUAGCGGUGAAAUGCGUAGAUAUCAGGAGGAACACCAGUGGCGAAGGCGGCCGACUGGAACUGUCCUGACGCUGAGGGACGAAAGCCAGGGGAGCGAACCGGAUUAGAAACCCCAGUAGUCC